CUCUGUGUUUGUGUGUGUGUGUGUGGAUCAAAAAUUAGGCACAAUUCAGUAGAAGUCGGGACUGGAAGUUAGCCAGCUUAAAUUCUUCAGCAAAUUACUGCUCGAUUAACCUUCAUCUUGAAAAAAAGGAUAUCAAUUUACUAUGGAAAUUCGCUGGAAAGAACACAUAAAGAUACUUUUCUUUUAUUUGCACCGGGUGUCCAAGUCUCUACGAGACCGACCAAUCCCGGGGGGUGCACAGGCCCUUGGCGAGGAGUUUCCCGCAAGUGCAUCACGGUUAAUUCAGGUUUUACUCUAUCUGAUGGCUCACAAAAAUUAUUUGCACCCAGUGAUUUCGAACUUGCAAUCAGACCAACCUGAGGGUUCAUAAAGAUACUUUUGUCUUCCACAAAAUAAAGACAUAAAUUUGUUAGGUGAAAGAACAGAAAAAGACACUUUUUUUAGUGCAGACAACUACAUUCAAAUUCCUCAUAAAGUUGAAUUUUGCAAUAUACUUCACAUGUAUCUCAUUAACGUUGUUAAAAGGCUGUGGAUUAUCAAACAAUUCCGCAAGGAAGGCAUCCAAAUUUCACAAGUCACGUUUUACAAUUAAAAACCGAAAAUUGAAAGAAAAAUAUAAUUAAACAACUUCGCAAGGAAGGCAUCAAAAUUUCACAAGUCACGUUUUACAAUUAAAAACCGAAAAUUGAAAUACUUUUGUCUUCCACAAAUUAAAGACAUAAAUUUGUUAGGUGAAAGAACAGAAAAAGACACUUUUUUAGUGCAGACAACUGCAUUCAAAUUCCUCAUAAAGUUGAAUUUUGCAAUAUACUUCACAUGUAUCUCAUUAACGUUGUUAAAAGGCUGUGGAUUAUCAAACAAUUCCGCAAGGAAGGCAUCCAAAUUUCACAAGUCACGUUUUACAAUUAAAAACCGAAAAUUGAAAGAAAAAUAUAAUAUUUCAAUCAGAAAGAGAAGUCCAAAAUUUUCAGAAAACAGCAAAAAACGUUACAGUCGGGAGCAUUAAUUCAUUUUGAAGAAUGCCGGAAAUCAAUGAUAAAAAAACCGUGUUUCUGUACAACGACAUUAGUUUCAAUCAGAAAGCGAAUUCAAAAUUUAACUAUUGAAAAGCGAAAAUCAAAUUGAAAAUAAAAAGAUAAAGGAGCUUCAAUCAGAAGGAGAAGUCCGAAAUAAUCAACCAACAGGCAAAAGCAUUCUUCUGCAACUUCUCAGCUCUCACUGGCGGAAAUCAAUGAUGAACAAAAAACGUGCUUCUACUUAACCGAAGUCGGAAAUUUUCAGUCCGAGUAAUACCUGAAACAAACAUAGCGCGAACGAAAUCCGGAUAAAAUGAAGCAUCAUUGUUCCUAUGGAAGAAAACUCCGCCAUUGCUAAUGGCCUGGAGCUGAGUCCUAAACUCAGAAAACUCCUUUUCUAAAGAUUUUGGUUGCAGUUAUCAACUAUCUUAUAGUCCAAGUCCGUCUUUUCUGUACAGACUAC
rnacentral:lncRNA from 1 species